rnacentral:rRNA from 1 species
AAUCAACGCUGGCGGCGUGCCUCAGACAUGCAAGUCGAACGAUUAAAGCUCUCUUCGGAGAGUGUAUAGAGUGGCGCACGGGUGAGUAACACGUAAGUAAUCUACCUUUGAGUGGGGAAUAACCCGGGGAACCCGAGCUAAUACCGCAUAAUGCAGCGGCACCGCAAGGUGACAGUUGUUAAAGGAGCAAUCCGCUUAAAGAGGAGCUUGCGGCAGAUUAGCUAGNGGUAAGGUAAUGGCUUACCAAGGCUUCGAUCUGUAUCCGGCCUGAGAGGGCGGUCGGACACACUGACACUGAAUAACGGGUCAGACUCCUACGGGAGGCAGCAGUCGGGAAUUUGGGCAAUGGGCGAAAGCCUGACCCAGCAACGCCGCGUGAAGGAUGAAGUAUUUCGGUAUGUAAACUUCGAAAGAAUGGGAAGAUCAAUGGCGGUACCAUUUAUAAGGUCCGGCUAACUACGUGCCAGCAGCCGCCGUAAG